GGCCGGUCUUAUUGUGGCUCUCUGAGUCGCUUUAAGACCUGGUCAUCCGUAUGGGAAGCUAGCUCGGCCUUCGCUGGUCGGUUAGUGGAUCAUACACUUUACUUUGAAAAAAUUAGAGUGUUUCAGGCAGGCAAUUGCUUGGAUACUUCAGCAUGGAAUAAUGGAAUAGGACUUUGACCUAUUUGUUGGUUUCUUGAGGUCAAAGUA
rnacentral:rRNA from 1 species